AUACGGAGGGUGCGAACGUUAAUCGGAAUUACUGGGCGUAAAGCGCGCGUAGGCGGUUUGAUAAGUGGGAUGUGAAAGCCCCGGGCUCAACCUGGGAACUGCAUUCCAAACUGUCAGGCUAGAGUAUGGUAGAGGGAGGUAGAAUUUCCUGUGUAGCGGUGAAAUGCGUAGAUAUAGGAAGGAAUACCGGUGGCGAAGGCGGCCUCCUGGACCAAUACUGACGCUGAGGUGCGAAAGCGUGGGGAGCAAACAGGAUUAGAAACCCCAGUAGUCC
rnacentral:rRNA from 1 species